rnacentral:rRNA from 1 species
GUGGGGAAUAUUGCGCAAUGGACGAAAGUCUGACGCAGCGACGCCGCGUGAGUGAUGAAGGCCUUAGGGUCGUAAAGCUCUGUUGAAUGGGAAGAAAAAAAUGACGGUACCAUUCGAGGAAGGACCGGCUAACUUCGUGCCAGCAGCCGCGGUAAUACGAGGGGUCCUAGCGUUGUUCGGAAUCAUUGGGCGUAAAGGGUGUGUAGGUGGCCAUGUAAGUCAGGUGUGAAAGCCCCGGGCUCAACCCGGGAAGUGCACUUGAUACUGCGUGGCUUGAGUACCGAAGAGGGUAGUGGAAUUCCAGGUGUAGUGGUGAAAUACGUAGAUAUCUGGAGGAACACCGGUGGCGAAGGCGGCUACCUGGUCGAGUACUGACACUCAGACCCGAAAGCGUGGGGAUCAAACAGGAUUAGAUACCCUUGUAGUCC